GAUGAACGCUGGCGGCGUGCCUAACACAUGCAAGUCGAACGAGGUCCAUCCUUCGGGAGAAGACCUAGUGGCGAACGGGUGAGUAACACGUGAGGAACCGGCCCCGGAGACCGGGAUAACCACUCGAAAGAGUGGCUAAUACCGCAUGCCCCUAUCCUGCCGCAUCACGGGAUGAGGAAAUGGAUUCCGCUCCGGGAGGGCCUCGCGGCCUAUCAGCUAGUUGGUGAGGUAACGGCUCACCAAGGCAUCGACGGGUAGCUGGUCUGAGAGGACGAUCAGCCACACUGGGACUGAGACCCGGCCCAGACUCCUACGGGAGGCAGCAGUGGGGAAUCUUGCGCAAUGGGCGAAAGCCUGACGCAGCAACGCCGCGUGGGGGAUGAAGGCUCUCGGGUUGUAAACCCCUUUCAGCAGGGACGAAAAUGACGGUACCUGCAGAAGAAGCUCCGGCUAACUACGUGCCAGCCGCCGCGGUAA
rnacentral:rRNA from 1 species